rnacentral:rRNA from 1 species
GAUGAACGCUGGCGGCGUGCCUAAUACAUGCAAGUCGAGCGAACAGACGAGGAGCUUGCUCCUCUGACGUUAGCGGCGGACGGGUGAGUAACACGUGGAUAACCUACCUAUAAGACUGGGAUAACUUCGGGAAACCGGAGCUAAUACCGGAUAAUAUAUUGAACCGCAUGGUUCAAUAGUGAAAGACGGUUUUGCUGUCACUUAUAGAUGGAUCCGCGCCGCAUUAGCUAGUUGGUAAGGUAACGGCUUACCAAGGCAACGAUGCGUAGCCGACCUGAGAGCUACCAGGGGCAAGAAGGAGGAACAAGCCGGGGCGGGAUAGAGCGGGAGGCAGCAGUAGGGAUUCGGUCACAAUGGGCGACAGAGCGAAAGAUCAACGAAGUGGGAGAGAAGAAUUUCUACAGAAAGUAAAACUGUGUUAAUGGGGAAAAACAAGAAUGUAAGUAACUAUGCGCGUCUAGACGGUGCCUAAACAGAAAAACACGGCUAACGACG